rnacentral:rRNA from 1 species
GGGUGCGAUCAUAGCAACGUUAAUGCACUAUAUCCCAUCAGAACUCUGUAGUUAAGCACGCUUGGGCCAGAGUAGUACUGGAAAGGGUGACCUCUUGGGAAGUCCUGGUGUUUCACCCU